rnacentral:rRNA from 1 species
AGUUUGAUCAUGGCUCAGAUUGAACGCUGGCGGCAGGCCUAACACAUGCAAGUCGAGCGGAUGAAGGGAGCUUGCUCCUGGAUUCAGCGGCGGACGGGUGAGUAAUGCCUAGGAAUCUGCCUGGUAGUGGGGGAUAACGUCCGGAAACGGGCGCUAAUACCGCAUACGUCCUGAGGGAGAAAGUGGGGGAUCUUCGGACCUCACGCUAUCAGAUGAGCCUAGGUCGGAUUAGCUAGUUGGUGGGGUAAAGGCCUACCAAGGCGACGAUCCGUAACUGGUCUGAGAGGAUGAUCAGUCACACUGGAACUGAGACACGGUCCAGACUCCUACGGGAGGCAGCAGUGGGGAAUAUUGGACAAUGGGCGAAAGCCUGAUCCAGCCAUGCCGCGUGUGUGAAGAAGGUCUUCGGAUUGUAAAGCACUUUAAGUUGGGAGGAAGGGCAGUAAGUU